UCAAGAGAUUCUCCUGCCUCAGCCUCCCGAGUAGCUGGGACUACAGGUGCGCACCACCAUGCCCAGCUAAUUUUUUGUGUUUUUGUAAAGAUGGUAUUUCAACAUGUUGGCCAUGCUGGUCUCAAACUCCUGACCUCAGGUGAUCUGCCCACUUCGGCCUCCUAAAGUGCUGAGAUUACAGGUGUGAGCCACCGCACCUGGCCGGAACUCACCAUUUUAUGGGGAAAGAGAUGCAUCACCAACAAUGCCAGCACAGUGGGACUGGUGCUACGGCAUGAUGGAGUAACACGCAGCCAGUCUCUGGCUCACAUCUUACAUGAAACCCAAACACCCAUCACGGCUCCAAAAUAUCCUAGUCCCCUGGAAAGGCUUCACCACUCGGGACUGUUCUACAUUAUUAUUAAGAAAAGCUUCUCGGCUGGGUGCAGUGGCUCA
rnacentral:lncRNA from 10 species